rnacentral:rRNA from 1 species
GUAGGGGGCAAGCGUUGUCCGGAAUUAUUGGGCGUAAAGCGCGCGCAGGCGGUCUCUUAAGUCCGAUGUGAAAGCCCACGGCUCAACCGUGGAGGGUCAUUGGAAACUGGGGGACUUGAGUGUAGGAGAGGAAAGUGGAAUUCCACGUGUAGCGGUGAAAUGCGUAGAUAUGUGGAGGAACACCAGUGGCGAAGGCGACUUUCUGGCCUACAACUGACGCUGAGGUGCGAAAGCGUGGGGAGCAAACAGGGAUUAGAUACCCUGGUAGUCCACGCCGUAAACGAUGAGUGCUAGGUGUUAGGGGUUUCGAUGCCCCUUAGUGCCGAAGUUAACACAUUAAGCACUCCGCCUGGGGAGUACGACCGCAAGGUUAG